rnacentral:piRNA from 1 species
UGAUCACGACUGCCUGAGGUUUCACGCUC